GGCUUUCUGACAGAUACUGACGUGAGAUGCGAAAGCGUGGGGAGCAAACAGGAUUAGAUACCUGGUAGUCACGCUGUAAACGAUGUCGAUUGGAGUUUGUUGCCUAGAGUGAUGGGCUCCGAAGCUAACGCGAUAAAUCGACCGCCUGGGGAGUACGGCCGCAAGGUUAAAACUCAAAUGAAUUGACGGGGGCCCGCACAAGCGGUGGAGCAUGUGGUUUAAUUCGAUGCAACGCGAAGAACCUUACCUGGUCUUGACAUCCAUAGAAUUCUGCAGAGAUGUGGGAGUGCCUUCGGGAACUAUGAGACAGGUGCUGCACGGCUGUCGUCAGCUCGUGUUGUGAAAUGUUGGGUUAAGUCCCGCAACGAGCGCAACCCUUAUUCUUUGUUGCCAGCGAUUUGGUCGGGAACUCAAAGGAGACUGCCGUUGAUAAAGCGGAGGAAGGUGGGGACGACGUCAGGUCAUCAUGGCCCUUACGACCAGGGCUACACACGUGCUACAAUGGCGUAUACAAAGGGAAGCGAAGGUGCGAGCUGGAGCGGAUCUCAUAAAGUACGUCUAAGUUCGGAUUGGAGUCUGCAACUCGACUCCAUGAAGUCGGAAUCGCUAGUAAUCGUAGAUCAGAAUGCUACGGUGAAUACGUUCCCGGGCCUUGUACACACCGCCCGUCACACCAUGGGAGUGGGUUGCACCAGAAGUAGAUAGCUUAACCGCGAGGGGGGCGUUUACCACGGUGUGAUUCAUGACUGGGGUGAAGUCGUAACAAGGUAACCA
rnacentral:rRNA from 1 species